rnacentral:rRNA from 1 species
GACGAACGCUGGCGGCGUGCUUAACACAUGCAAGUCGAACGGUGAAGGGAUCAGCUUGCUGGUUCUGGAUGAGUGGCGAACGGGUGAGUAACACGUGAGUAACCUGCCCCCUUCUUCUGGAUAACCGCAUGAAAGUGUGGCUAAUACGGGAUAUUCUGCGCCUGCUGCAUGGUGGGUGUGGGAAAGAUAUUGUUUCGGUGGGGGAUGGGCUCGCGGCCUAUCAGCUUGUUGGUGGGGUGAUGGCCUACCAAGGCGGUGACGGGUAGCCGGCCUGAGAGGGUGGACGGUCACACUGGGACUGAGACACGGCCCAGAGUCCUACGGGAGGCAGCAGUGGGGAAUAUUGCACAAUGGGCGCAAGCAUGAUGCAGCGACGCCGCGUGAGGGAUGGAGGCCUUCGGGUUGUGAACCUCUUUCGCCAGUGAAGCAGGCCUGUCCCGUGUGGGUGGGUUGACGGUAGCUGGAUAAGAAGCGCCGGCUAACUACGUG